UCUUCAUUCGGCUCAGGUAGUUUCUCUCUCUAACUCUCCGCUUCUCUCUAUAACUUUGUAGUCUUAGAUCUGAGAAUGUCAUCGGGCGGUAGAGGUAAACUUUCUAGGGCCCAGAAAGGGAAAGCCACGGUGAAUGCGUCCGAAUCGAGUCCUGCACGUGUCGUCGAGUCGAAUUCCUCGCCCGAUUUUGAGACGAUUCAUCGUGAAGCCAUGAUGGAUACGGAGAAUAUGGACACGCCCCAGCGAGUCCUCGUUGCUGAUUCGGCGCGGCAGCUCCGCGAGGAGAGAGAAAAUGUAACAUUAAUUUCGAGAGACGGUCAGGGUGGAGCUGAUGUCGGAGAGACUUCCCUCCCCGAUUUCGUUCCGUGUUGUUACCAUCCGGGGGGAAUCUUCGAGGAUCUUCCGGCUUUGGCGGUUGAGCAGAUGCGUCCUUCUGUCGUAGAGGGACAGUCAUGGGAGAAUAUCGAGGAGACUCGUUCGACUCCUAGUAGCAUGAAAGCUUUAUUGAGGGAAUGUGAAGGAACCGGGGUGACCUUUUUGAUCCCAACUAAAUCUCAGAGGCCGUGGUCCCCUCCUUUGGGAUUUCAGUGCGUCUAUGAGUCAUACUUUCAGGAUGAGACCAAACUUUGGUUUCCAAUUCCUCGACUCGUUACGUCUUAUGUGAGACGUCGUGACGCGGCGAUAAGUCAGUUUUUCAAUGGCGCGUUCUGUACCUCGGUGGCAUUGAUGGUGACUGCGGCGGAGAUCGACGUUUCGAUGAGUGUUCGGACACUCGAGGAGUUGACCUAUACGAAGUCCAUGGGCAAUGGUUUAUUCUCGAUCCAGAUGAGGCCCAACUACAACGUGAUCGUCGAUCAUCCGUGUAGGACGGCGCACUGGAAGCGUUUCUACUUUUACGUCAAGUCUGACGGUUUUGCCUUCGAGGAGCCGCCCGACGUUUUCUUCCGAUUUUUGUGGAAUCAUAAACUCGGUAGAACGCUGUUGUCAGCUCAUCGACUGUCUCUUUUCCUUGUUUUCUGACGAGUUUUCGUUUAUUUGCAGUUGAUCACCCAGACACGGCCUCUUAUCCGGAAGAUUUCGUCUCUGAUGCUCGUGCAGUCGUUUCGCGCGUCCAAGUGAGCUGGAAGGAUAUCACCAUCGAGAGGAUUCGACGAGUGCUUGACAGAAUCUCGAGGAAGGAUUGGAGGUCUGAUCUACUGCCUUUGAUUACCGGUAACAAGCGGCAGUUUUCGAUAUUCAGUAGCGCCGAGAAAAAGAUCAUCAACGCGGCCAGGGAAAUGAAAGAGCUUCCAGACUUGAGUGCAUUAAUCAAGAAAAAACUGAGCGAGGCGAAAAAGGCAUCCUCUGCGACUCCUAGCGAGACAACUCUUAGUGGGACGACUCCUCGCGAAGAGACUCCUCGCGAAGAGACUCCUCGCGUGAAGACUCCUCGUGGAGCAAUUCCUCCCGCUCCUCUUCCUCUUGUGGUUUCCCCCGGACCGUCUACAGGCCCGGCUAACGUCGACUCUUCGAGGGAGGAUCUCACAUUGAUCUCUGAACGAGAGACUACUGAACCAUCGUUGACUGGUGGUAAUAAGAAGAGAUCUGCUCCUGACUCCUCUGCAUCGGCUGCUUCUCAAGCGAGGACUGAAUCUGAUGGUCCUCCAAAAAAGAAAAAGAAAAAAGAGAGGAAGAAGAAGAAAUCUGUUGAGGAACAGUCGGAGCCUGCCGAAGGCGCUGAGAAUUGUGAGACCAUUAUCGAGAAAGGUUCUUCUCGCGAUGCUGCAGCUCGGGGAGUCGUCGACUCGGACAACUCCCCGUCCAUCUCUCUGAAGAAGAAGAAGACUGCCCGCAGCCAUGAGUAGUCUACUCCGGCUGCGUCUGCUUCUGCUGCGAAGAUUCCUCCAGCUGCACCUCGGACUCUUGUUGAAGGCGGUUCGGCCUCUGAGGAUCGUCGGGUCAAAUUUCAUGACCGCGUGGAGUUCAAGUACGUCGGCGAGACUCCUCUUUCCUUUGCCCCGACUGACUGUGCUGAGCUUGUUCGACAAAUUAAGGGUGGUCGCAAGGACUUGCCCGCUGUCAAGGACCUUAUUUUCAAGGACGCAUACGUCGAUGCGGCGAGGACUAAAAUUCUGGUAAGAAUUAUUCUCCUUAUUUUAUCUUUUUCAUGUUCCUGGUUCUGAUCUUUUCUUUCGUUCAUGCAGAGCGACGGGAGCAUGAACUACGUC